CCAGUGCACUUCUGAGGGCUCACUCACACCCAGGAAAUAACUGGAAUGAUGGACCUUCCUGUUCUGGAAGUUCACAGGUCUGCUAUCCUCCAAGUGUUACCACUACCAAAGAUAAACUACACUGUAAACACAGUGAAAAUGUAAAGCACUGCACAUGUUUGAUGGCUCAGAUGUGAAAGCUGUAACUGCGAUACUUGAGACUGGCUCCUGAAUUAUAUCCUGCUUGCUAUGCAAAGUGGCAGGAUGGAAGAUCAGAGGGCACAGUGCUUUUGGACUUGGGCAAGACAUUAAGCUGUUUGCAUUUAUUCACAGAUCAAGUGAUUUAGUUAGAACUUUUUUUUAAAAAAAAAGAAUGUUGUUUGUACAUAAGAGACUUGAUUUUGCUUAUAUGGCAUUCUUAAAAGUCUCUAGGAUCAUUUAAUCUACUAAAAACUCUAAAAGACUUAUCGCCUAAUAGAAGCCACAAUGACCAACGCCUAAUAGAAGCCACAAUGACCAAUCCCUGGAAUUUGCUUUAGCUACAGUAUGCGUUUUUCUCAUCACAUAUUAGAGUAUUAAACAAACAUCUGUUCACCCAGAGUAGUAAGGAAAGUCCAGUAAUAAACAAAACCAAGGAUUAUUUGAGUUCUGUCUGGUAUUGCUCAGGGAUAAGUGCCUAACAAUGUUCCAAUAUUUUAUUGCUCUUGCUUUGGAGACCAGCUGCCUGACACUCAUGCAUUUGGGAACCUGUCAUGCCUUUAUGCAUCUCAGGUAGACUCCUGUAUAAUGAGCAAGUCCACCCCAUAGACUAUGCUUUGGCCUACAGAAUGGUGCACUGGGCUGGGGGCCAGAACACCACGAGUCUCAAUUGUUCUACUGAAUCAUGUUAAUAUUUGUGUAUUUCAUAACCUU